AUGAAGAAGACUGGAGAGCAUGCUGAGAAGUCUACCCACCCAUCAGAGAUCGUCUGGGUCGAAGCUGGCGCCGUCUCUCCGGUUGUGAGGAAACAAGGCGGUUGUGGCUGUUGUUGGGCCAUGGCUACGACAGCAUCGGUCGAAGCAGCACACUAUCUGAAGACCUUGCAAUCAAUCUCCCUAUCGGUUCAAGAGCUCAUCGACUGCAACACGGAGAACAACGGUUGCAACGAGGGUACACCUGAUCUAUUUAACUACAAAGGAGGCAUCAUGGAGUGCGAAGCUCUAGCUGAUGGUAGCGCAACUACAUGGCAUGCAUUCCUGAUUGUCGGUUAUGGUACGGAUCCUGAUGGCAUUAAGUAUUGGCGCUUCAAGAACUCGUGGGGAAAGGAUUGGGGCGAGGGGGGAUUUGGGAGGAUCAGUAGGCACGUUGCUGACGAGCAAGGUGCCUUGGGUAUGUUUAUGUAUGGAGGACUAUAUCCAGUGAUUGACUAA
rnacentral:rRNA from 1 species